GCUGGGCGUGGUGGCGCGCACCUGUAAUCCCAGCUACUUAGGAGGCUGAGGCAGGAGAAUGGCUUGAACCCAGGAGGCAGAGGUUGCAGUGAGCUGAGAUUGUGCCACUGUACUCCAGCCUGGGUGACAGAGUGAGACUCUGUCUCAA
rnacentral:SRP_RNA from 1 species